GACAGAGGAUGCAAGCGUUAUCCGGAAUAUUGGCAUAAAGCGUCCGCAGGUGGCACUUCAAGUCUGUCGUCAAAGACUGGGGCUUAACCUUGGAAAGGCGGUGGAAACUGAAGCGCUAGAGUGCGGUAGGGGUAGAGGGAAUUCCCGGUGUAGCGGUGAAAUGCGUAGAGAUCGGGAAGAACAUCGGUGGCGAAAGCGCUCUACUGGACCGCAACUGACACUCAGGGACGAAAGCUAGGGGAGCGAAUGGG
rnacentral:rRNA from 1 species